GACGAACGCUGGCGGCGUGCCUAAUACAUGCAAGUUGAGCGCUGAAGGUUGGUACUUGUACCAACUGGAUGAGCAGCGAACGGGUGAGUAACGCGUGGGGAAUCUGCCUUUGAGCGGGGGACAACAUUUGGAAACGAAUGCUAAUACCGCAUAAAAACUUUAAACACAAGUUUUAAGUUUGAAAGAUGCAAUUGCAUCACUCAAAGAUGAUCCCGCGUUGUAUUAGCUAGUUGGUGAGGUAAAGGCUCACCAAGGCGAUGAUACAUAGCCGACCUGAGAGGGUGGUCGGCCACAUUGGGACUGAGACACGGCCCAAACUCCUACGGGAGGCAGCAGUAGGGAAUCUUCGGCAAUGGACGAAAGUCUGACCGAGCAACGCCGCGUGAGUGGAGAAGGUUUUCGGAUCGUAAAACUCUGUUGGUAGAGAAGAACGUUGGUGAGAGUGGAAAGCUCAUCAAGUGACGGUAACUACCCAGAAAGGGACGGCUAACUACGUG
rnacentral:rRNA from 1 species